GACAGAAAGUGCAGGCGUUUAUUCGGAUUGACUGGGCGUUUAAGGGUAUGUAGGCGGCUGAAUGUAACUAGGUUGGAAAAGCUCAGGAAUCCGCUGAGAAGUCUGCCUAAAAAUUAUUAAGCUAGAGUUUGUGCUGCGUUUGGAGAAUUAGGGAAGUACAGGAGUUAAAUCCUGCGAUAUUACUAGGAAGGCCGAAGGCGAAAGCACCGUUCGGGCUAUAACUGACGCUGAGGUACGAAAAGGUUGGGGAGCGAAUGGG
rnacentral:rRNA from 1 species